AAAUUCACUUAUUAAGUUGAGUAGAUUUUUUAGUGGAGUCUACAGGGUUUUCUAUGUACAUUAUUAUGUCAUCUGCUAACAGUGACUGUUUUGCUUCCACCUUUCCAAUUUGGAUGCCUUUUAUUUCUUUUUCUUGUCUUAUUGCUGUGGCUAGGACUUCCAAUAAAUACUAUGUUGAAUAGAAGUGGUGAAAGCAGACAUCCUUGUUUUGUUCCUGAUCUU